rnacentral:rRNA from 1 species
UAAGGAAUAUUGGACAAUGGAGGCAACUCUGAUCCAGCCAUGCCGCGUGAAGGAAUAAGGCCCUAUGGGUUGUAAACUUCUUUUAGACGGGACAAAACCCCUUUACGUGUAAAGGGUUGAUGGUACUGUCAGAAUAAGCAUCGGCUAACUCCGUGCCAGCAGCCGCGGUAAUACGAAGGAUGCAAGCGUUAUCCGGAAUUAUUGGGUUUAAAGGGUGCGUAGGCGGACUAAUAAGUCAGUGGUGAAAGCCUGCAGCUUAACUGCAGAAUUGCCAUUGAUACUGUUAGUCUUGAGUACAGUUGAGGUAGGCGGAAUGUGUCAUGUAGCGGUGAAAUGCUUAGAUAUGACACAGAACACCGAUUGCGAAGGCAGCUUGCUAAGCUGUAACUGACGCUGAGGCACGAAAGCGUGGGGAGCAAACA